CGGUCACAUAAGGUUGAAACAUCGGUUCCCGUAUGGAAAACUAAGUUAAGCAACGUCGAGCCGGGUCAAUACCUAGAUGGUUGACCGCUUGGGAAUACCAGGUGUUGUU